UACGGAGGGUGCAAACGUUGCUCGGAAUCAUUGGGCGUAAAGCGCACGUAGGCGGGUUGUUAAGUCGGAUGUGAAAUCCCUCAGCUUAACUGAGGAAGUGCACUCGAAACUGGCAGCCUUGAGUAUGGAAGAGGGUCGCGGAAUUCCCGGUGUAGAGGUGAAAUUCGUAGAUAUCGGGAGGAACACCAGUGGCGAAGGCGGCGACCUGGGCCAAUACUGACGCUGAGGUGCGAAAGCGUGGGGAGCAAACAGG
rnacentral:rRNA from 1 species